UCGGAUAUGGUGUAAUGGCUAACAUUGCCGCCUCUCAUGUAUCUAGAAUUCGAAUUUUCAGUACCGCGGCAGCUCGGGGUUCGAUUCCCCGUAUCCGAA